CAGCCGCCGCGGUAAUACGGAAGGUCCGGGCGUUAUCCGGAUUUAUUGGGUUUAAAGGGAGUGUAGGCGGUCUGUUAAGCGUGUCGUGAAAUUUAGGUGCUCAACAUUUAACUUGCAGCGCGAACUGUCAGACUUGAGUACACGCAGCGCAGGCGGAAUUCAUGGUGUAGCGGUGAAAUGCUUAGGUAUCAUGAGGAACUCCGAUCGCGAAGGCAGCCUGCGGGAGUGUUACUGACGCUUAAGCUCGAAGGUGCGGGUAUCGAACAGGAUUAGAUACCCGCGUAGUCCCUGUCUCUUAUAA
rnacentral:rRNA from 1 species